rnacentral:lncRNA from 1 species
UUUUGGAUUAGAUAGAGAUAACAAAACCUAGUGAAAUGAUCAAUGAAUGUGAUGAAAUACCUAUGUCCUUCUAGAGUUGGAAAUGGGAAUAGACAACAGAUAUAUGUGUGAAUAAUUUCAAUAAGACUUUGGUUUGGAGUAGAACCUAAUCUCCUUGAGUUAGUCAUUUUGCCUUUAAUGCAUUUAAUGAUUCAUUAAAAUCUGAGAAAUCUAAGGGAGGAAGAAUUUGUUCUUUCACAAGGUAUUGCAUUCUUUUUCUAGACACAUGGCCUGGUAUUUUAUGUCAUAGCCUUGCUGAGUUUUCAUUAAUUUGGGAUCAUUUUUGACCUAUGGAAUCAAUGGUGAAAGCAACAUUUAAAUUGGAACAAGUUAAUCGAAACAAACCAUCAGUCAAAAGGUCAUUGUUAAUUGAACUUUUAUUGAAAUUCAAAUAAAAUCCUACCUUAGAAAAAACAAAACAAAAUGUUCCCUGGUUAUCUAGAAACUGAAAUUAAGUUCAUUCUCAUGGAAGGAACAUAAGCAACAUCCUUUAAAUUUAAAAAAAAAAAAAUCCUGAAACUAGUUGAAGCUGAACUGAUCCUACUGCAAGAACUACCACCGUCUUACCAUUUCCAACGAAGACAUGGUCUUGGUCUCUAUUUGGUUUCCUCUAGCUUACGAAGUCC